rnacentral:rRNA from 1 species
AUUGAACGCUGGCGGCAGGCCUAACACAUGCAAGUCGAACGAGUGGCGGACGGGUGAGUAACGUCUGUGAAACUGCCUGAUGGAUGGGGAUAACUCCUGGAAACGGUAGCUAAUACCGCAAACCAUCAGAUGUGCCCAGAUGGGAUUAGCUAGUUGGUGGGGUAACGGCUCACCAAGGCGACGAGCCCUAGCUGGUCUGAGAGGUUGACCGGCCACACUGGAACUGAGACACGGUCCAGACUCCUACGGGAGGCAGCAGUGGGGAAUAUUGCGCAAUGGGCGCAAGCCUGAUGCAGCCAUGCCGCGUGUAUGAAGAAGGCCUUCGGGUUGUAAAGUACUUUCAGCGGGGAGGCGUUACCCGCAGAAGAAGCACCGGCUAACUCCGUGCCAGCAGCCGCGGUAAUUC